rnacentral:rRNA from 1 species
CUACGGGAGCCAGCAGUGGGAAUCUUGACAAUGGGCGCAAGCCUGAUCCACCCAUGCCGCGUGAGUGAUGAAGGCCUUAGGGUCGUAAAGCUCUUUCGCCAGAGAUGAUAAUGACAGUAUCUGGUAAAGAAACCCCGGCUAACUCCGUGCCAGCAGCCGCGGUAAUACGGAGGGGGUUAGCGUUGUUCGGAAUUACUGGGCGUAAAGCGCGCGUAGGCGGGCUAGUAAGUUAGAGGUGAAAUCCCAGGGCUCAACCCUGGAACUGCCUUUAAUACUGCUAGUCUUGAGUUCGAGAGAGGUGAGUGGAAUUCCGAGUGUAGAGGUGAAAUUCGUAGAUAUUCGGAGGAACACCAGUGGCGAAGGCGGCUCACUGGCUCGAUACUGACGCUGAGGUGCGAAAGUGUGGGGAGCAAACAGGAUUAGAUACCCUGGUAGUCCACACCGUAAACGAUGAAUGCCAGUCGUCGGGUAGCAUGCUAUUCGGUGACACACCUAACGGAUUAAGCAUUCCGCCUGGGGAGU